UACGUAGGGUGCAGGCGUUAAUCGGAAUUACUGGGCGUAAAGCGUGCGCAGGCGGUUUCUUAAGUCAGAUGUGAAAGCCCCGGGCUUAACCUGGGAACUGCGUUUGGGACUGGUUGGCUAGAGAUCGGGAGAGGAGAGUGGAAUUCCCAGUGUAGAGGUGAAAUUCGUAGAUAUUGGGAAGAACACCGGUGGCGAAGGCGGCUCUCUGGACCGAUACUGACGCUGAGGCGCGAAAGCGUGGGGAGCAAACAGG
rnacentral:rRNA from 1 species